rnacentral:rRNA from 1 species
AGAGUGAACGCUGGCGGCAGGCCUAACACAUGCAAGUCGAACGGCAGCACAAGGGAGCUUGCUCCCUGGGUGGCGAGUGGCGGACGGGUGAGGAAUACGUCGGAAUCUGCCUAUUUGUGGGGGAUAACGUAGGGAAACUUACGCUAAUACCGCAUACGACCCCAUGCCGAGAGGUGCGGGGUGAAAGCGGAGGACCUUCGGGCUUCGCGCAGAUAGAUGAGCCGACGUCGGAUUAGCUUGUUGGCGGGGUAACGGCCCACCAAGGCGACGAUCCGUAGCUGGUCUGAGAGGAUGAUCAGCCACACUGGAACUGAGACACGGUCCAGACUCCUACGGGAGGCAGCAGUGGGGAAUAUUGGACAAUGGGCGCAAGCCUGAUCCAGCCAUGCCGCGUGUGUGAAGAAGGCCUUGGUUGUAAGCACUUUGUACCGGAAGAAACCUUCGGUUAAUACCCUAGGAGUCCUGACGGUACCGGAAGAAUAAGCAACCGGCUAACUUCGU